GUACCUGAAGAAAAAGCAUCGGCUAACUCCGUGCCAGCAGCCGCGGUAAUACGGAGGAUGCAAGCGUUAUCCGGAAUCAUUGGGCGUAAAGGGUCCGCAGGUGGCGAAUAAAGUCUGCUGUUAAAGACCGGGGCUAAACUCCGGAAAGGCAGUGGAAACUGAUUAGCUAGAGUACGGUAGGGGUAGAGGGAAUUCCCAGUGUAGCGGUGAAAUGCGUAGAUAUUGGGAAGAACACCGGUGGCGAAAGCGCUCUACUAGGCCGAAACUGACACUGAGGGACGAAAGCUAGGGUAGCGAAAGGGAUUAGAUACCCCUGUAGUCUUAGCGGUAAACGAUGGAUACUAGGUGUAGCUUGUAUCGACCCGAGCUGUGCCGAAGCUAACGCGAUAAGUAUCCCGCCUGGGGAGUACGCACGCAAGUGUGAAACUCAAAGGAAUUGACGGGGGCCCGCACAAGCGGUGGAGUAUGUGGUUUAAUUCGAUGCAACGCGAAGAACCUUACCAGGGCUUGACAUGUCGCGAAUCUAGCGGAAACGUUAGAGUGCCUUAGGGAAUGCGAACACAGGUGGUGCAUGGCUGUCGUCAGCUCGUGUCGUGAGAUGUUGGGUUAAGUCCCGCAACGAGCGCAACCCUCGUCCUUAGUUGCCAAUAUUAAGUUAGGCACUCUAGGGAGACUGCCGGGGACAACUCGGAGGAAGGUGGGGAUGACGUCAAGUCAGCAUGCCCCUUACGUCCUGGGCGACACACGUACUACAAUGGUUGGGACAAAGGGCAGCAAACUCGCGAGAGUAAGCGAAUCUCAUCAAACCCAGCCACAGUUCAGAUUGCAGGCUGCAACUCGCCUGCAUGAAGUAGGAAUCGCUAGUAAUCGCAGGUCAGCAUACUGCGGUGAAUUCGUUCCCGGGCCUUGUACACACCGCCCGUCACACCAUGGAAGCUGGCUACGCCCGAAGUCGUUACCCUAACCCGGUUUUGGGAGGGGGAUGCCGAAGGUAGAGCUAGUGACUGGGGUGAAGUCGUAACAAGGUAGCCGUACCGGAAGGUGUGGCUGGAUCACCUCCUUUACAGGGAGACCUAGUCUAAUUACCAAUAGAUAAAAAAGUUGGUAAUUCGCAAGAAUCCUUAGGUCGUGAGGGGAGCAAGAAAAAACUUUCAAACUGUAAUGGGUGAGGGUCAAUGGGCUAUUAGCUCAGGUGGUUAGAGCGCACCCCUGAUAAGGGUGAGGUCCCUGGUUCAAGUCCAGGAUGGCCCACCUAAAAUACACAGGCAUCCUGCCUGUGCCACAAAAAAAGGAAAAAGUUUUGGCAUUGUCUCUUGUAAUCAAGAGCAAGAGAUAAUGCUGGAAUAGAUUCCAGC
rnacentral:misc_RNA from 1 species